rnacentral:misc_RNA from 1 species
AAUCCAAGAAUUUCACCUCUGACGCCGGAAUACAAAUGCCCCCAACCGUCCCUCUUAAUCAUUACUCUGGCCUCACAAACCAACAAAAUAGGCGCAAAGUCCUAUUCUAUUAUUCCAUGCUAAGGUAUUCACGGCAAACGCCUGCUUUGAACACUCUAAUUUGUUCACAGUAAACGGUGGCGCCGUACACGCGCGACAGUGAAGCCGCCCGCGCACGCCCUCCACAAAAGCGGGCGCGAUCGACGCCGCUUUACGCGGCGCCGUCCGCCCCCGCCAAGUUCCGACUACGAGCGUUUUAACCGCAGCAUCGGUGACAUACGCAUGCAGAGCUGGAAUUACCGCU